rnacentral:rRNA from 1 species
AGCUAACGCAUUAAGCAUUCCGCCUGGGGAGUACGGCCGCAAGGCUGAAACUCAAAGGAAUUGACGGGGGCCCGCACAAGCGGUGGAGCAUGUGGUUUAAUUCGAAGCUACGCGAAGAACCUUACCAGGUCUUGACAUACUAUGCAAAUCUAAGAGAUUAGACGUUCCCUUCGGGGACAUGGAUACAGGUGGUGCAUGGUUGUCGUCAGCUCGUGUCGUGAGAUGUUGGGUUAAGUCCCGCAACGAGCGCAACCCUUAUUAUCAGUUGCCAGCAUUAAGUUGGGCACUCUGGUGAGACUGCCGGUGACAAACCGGAGGAAGGUGGGGAUGACGUCAAAUCAUCAUGCCCCUUAUGACCUGGGCUACACACGUGCUACAAUGGAUGGUACAACGAGUUGCGAACUCGCGAGAGUAAGCUAAUCUCUUAAAGCCAUUCUCAGUUCGGAUUGUAGGCUGCAACUCGCCUACAUGAAGUCGGAAUCGCUAGUAAUCGCGGAUCAGCAUGCCGCGGUGAAUACGUUCCCGGGCCUUGUACACACCGCCCGUCACACCAUGAGAGUUUGUAACACCCAAAGUCGGUGGGGUAACCUUUUAGGAACCAGCCGCCUAAGGUGGGACAGAUGAUUAGGGUGAAGUCGUAACAAGGUAGCCGUAGGAGAACCUGCGGCUGGAUCACCUCCUUUCUAAGGAA